rnacentral:rRNA from 4 species
UCUGGUGACAAUAGCAAAGAGGUCACACCUGUUCCCAUGCCGAACACAGAAGUUAAGCUCUUUAGCGCCGAUGGUAGUCGGACUAACGUUCCGCUAGAGUAGGACGUUGCCAGGC